GAUGAACGCUGGCGGCGUGCCUAAUACAUGCAAGUCGAGCGAACAGACGAGGAGCUUGCUUCUCUGACGUUAGCGGCGGACGGGUGAGUAACACGUGGAUAACCUACCUAUAAGACUGGGAUAACUUCGGGAAACCGGAGCUAAUACCGGAUAAAAUGUUGAACCGCAUGGUUUAACAGUGAAAGACGGCCUUGCUGUCACUUAUAGAUGGAUCCGCGCCGCAUUAGCUAGUUGGUAAGGUAACGGCUUACCAAGGCAACGAUGCGUAGCCGACCUGAGAGGGUUAUCUGCCACACUGGAACUGAUACACGGUCCAGACUCCUACGGGAGGCAGCAGUAGGGAAUCUGCGGCACUGGGCUAAAGCCUAACGGAGCAACGCCGCGUGAGUGAAGAAGGUCUUCUGAUCGUAAAACGCUGUUAUUAGGAAAGAACAAAUGUGUAAGUAACUAUGCACGUCUUGACGGUACCUAAUCAGAAAGCCACGGCUAACUACGUG
rnacentral:rRNA from 1 species